rnacentral:rRNA from 1 species
GUGUGAAAAACUCCGGUGGUGUGAGAUGGAUCCGCGUCUGAUUAGGUAGUUGGUGGGGUAACGGCCCACCAAGCCGACGAUCAGUAGCCGACCUGAGAGGGUGACCGGCCACAUUGGGACUGAGACACGGCCCAAACUCCUACGGGAGGCAGCAGUGGGGAAUAUUGCACAAUGGGCGAAAGCCUGAUGCAGCGACGCCGCGUGAGUGAAGAAGUAUCUCGGUAUGUAAAGCUCUAUCAGCAGGGAAGAAAAUGACGGUACCUGACUAAGAAGCCCCGGCUAACUACGUGCCAGCAGCCGCGGUAAUACGUAGGGGGCAAGCGUUAUCCGGAUUUACUG